rnacentral:lncRNA from 1 species
GUACGGAUCUGUCGGCUAAGAUUAGUUGGAUUUGGCAGGACUUGUACUUGAUGAAACCGAGUCUUCUUGCUACUGAGAGUGACAUCAAACUGACUGAUGCACCUAGAUCACAUAGGCAUUUGUCGAAGAACAAAGGGCCUAGUGAACAAGGUAGAGUAAAUGAGCCGGGAUCCCCAAGCUUCUUCGGUAUGAUCUUUUUCUGUAUGAUAGCACUGCAUUCAUGGCUCAACACUACCAUUCCUUGUACUUCCUGAAUUC